rnacentral:rRNA from 1 species
AAUCAACGCUGGCGGCGUGCCUCAGACAUGCAAGUCGAACGAGAACCUCCCUUCGGGGGAGGGGACAGUGGCGCACGGGUGAGUAACACGUGGGUAAUUUACCUUUGGGUGGGGAACAACAGCCGGAAACGGCUGCUAAUACCGCAUAAUGCAGCGGCUCGACAUCGAGACAGUUGUUAAAGCGGGGGAUCGCAAGACCCCGCGCCUGAAGAGAAGCCUGCGGCGGAUUAGCUAGNGGUAGGGUAAUGGCCUACCAAGGCGACGAUCUGUAACCGGCCUGAGAGGGCGGUCGGUCACACUGACACUGACAUACGGGUCAGACUCCUACGGGAGGCAGCAGUACGGGAAGUUUUGGGACAAUGGGCGAAAGCCUGACCCAGCAACGCCGCGUGAAGGAUGAAGUC